UAGGGAAUCUUCGGCAAUGGGGGGAACCCUGACCGAGCAACGCCGCGUGAGGGAAGAAGGUUUUCGGAUCUUAAAGCUCUGUUGUUAAGGAAGAACGAGUGUGAGAAUGGAAAGUUCAUGCUGUGACGGUACUUAACCAGAAAGGGACGGCUAACUACGUGCCAGCAGCCGCGGUAAUACGUAGGUCCCGAGCGUUGUCCGGAUUUAUUGGGCGUAAAGCGAGCGCAGGCGGUCAAGUAAGUCUGAUGUGAAAGCCCCCGGCUCAACCGGGGAGGGUCAUUGGAAACUGGUUGACUUGAGUGCAGAAAAGGAGAGUGGAAUUCCAGAGUUAGCGGUGAAAUGGUUGGGUAUAUGGAGGAAAACCAGUGGGGAAGGCGACUCUUUGGUCUGUAACUGACGCUGAGGCUCGAAAGCGUGGGUAGCAAACAGG
rnacentral:rRNA from 1 species